UUUAAAUGAGGUAUGAUUUACGGGUCGAAAUUAUUUGAAAGCUGAACAGCUGAUGUCAAAAAUAGACUUCCUAUUCUUUCCAAAGUGUGGCAAAAAUAACCACAUGCCUUUCUUGGCCUCCCGACUCUCACCCCAGAGGGUUUUCUUGUAUAGGAACCAACAGUGCCUUGGAUGGAAACUCUGGAUAGGCUAGUCAUUAUUUUAAGAUUUAGGAGAUUGUGGAUUCUUGGCAGACCUGGGUUGUUUUUCUAGAGUAGUAGGCAAGUAGUUGGACAAAAAGCAAGAAGCCGAUCUACGCCGCUGGCUUUGGGUUCUUCAUGAACAAAUGAGACAAGGUUGGUGGGUGUCUGAGUCAACCAUGAAGAACAGUAGAAGAUCCCCAGGCCUUGUCAAGCCUGUUCAACACCUAGACAGAAUUACCUUGAGUAGUGAGCAGUGAGAGAUGGAUGGGUCAGGAUUCUCCCCUUGACAAAAGAGGACAGGAAGCAGACAAAAACUGACCGCCCACUGUUGAUAGGCAGCUGACCAGAGGCCUUGACAGUGUCCACUGAUUUGGUGUAAGAAGGUGAUCUGGACCACGCUGAUGUCCCCCUUCCUCCUCCCAGGCAUUCAAAGUAAGGAAUGCCCAGAGCAUUCGUUCCGUAUGUGUUGGGAAGAAGUACAUGGCUAAGUAUGAUCAUUUUACAUGUUUUCAAAUCAAAUGCUUCUAGCGAGGCUUCCUGGGGUGGCUAAAAUCCUUUCUUCCUGGACUCAGGAUGCAUUUACUAACUAUUCUAUUUAUGUAUCAUGUGACUUAUCAUCACUGAUGGUUGAAUGGCUGGAGUCAGAGAAAUGUGGUAGCCCUAAUAGAAUUAAUUAAUUGAAUAAUAUUGCCUGACAAAUGACUCUGUAUACCAAAGAGGGCUUGAGACUUAAUUACCGAUGUCAUUUAUCUCUCUAUUUGCACCCCAACAAUAAGCAACUCCUUUCUCAUUAACGUUGGGUCAUUUUCCAAAAGGAAGAAAAGAGGCCAAAAUAUCAGGAAGGGGGGGGGGGAAUCGAUGUCUUUGUUCCCCAUCUCAUUAUCCUGAUAAAUCAUAACAGACUCUGUUAAUUAGAUGGGCAGUCUUAACUGGCUGACUCCUGUCCAACAAUUACCUCAGAAAGAAGCACCACUGGGAACGUUGCCUUCCCUUGGGAGGAGAUGAAAGGAAGUCUGUAACAAAAAAAAAAGGGAUGGUUCCCUCAGCCAUGCUGGGGGGAUCACAGUUGUCAAGGCAAAUUUUGAGACCGAAGGGCGGGACCUGUUUCAGGGAUGGUGCCUGUGCUUUAUGGCGACAUGGGGUAUCUGACACUGCCUUCCUAAUCUAAGGCUUAGGUAAUGGUGCUCGGUGCCUCCAACUCCCCCGGGGAGAUUAGAGCCUAAUUAAAACAGGGGAACAGGUGUAAGAGGGCCUGAUUUGAUCUGGUCAAAUUAAUUGCUGAGAUUGGGCUUGCAUUUGGUAACUGGAAACAGUGAAUUAACUAUCACCGGAAUACAGCUAAUCCCUCGGUCUCACCGCGACUGUGUAUAAAACAGGCUGAACUUGCUGGGAACACAAACACAGAGGGAUUUGAAGUGCAGGUACGAUGCAUCCUUGCAUGGGAAAGCCUGGGCAGUGAGCCUAGCCCCAGAGGGAGGCCACACAUCAGACACUGUCUGCCUGGGAUGGGGCUGGUUUACGCCCAUUGUCCCUGCAAAAUUAUUAAUAGGGCCCCCUUUCAUUCUCAAAAUAAAAUGUCCCUGCAUGGACAAUAAAUCAAAUGGUUACUGUAUUUUAAUGCCAAUUUUAAGCUACUUUUUCUUUUUUCUUUACCAGAAGAGUAGUGUUAUAGGUUAAACUGCGUUCCCCCAAAAGGUAUCAAAGUCCUAACCCUCGAUACCUAUGAAAGUGAACUAAUUUGGAAAUUUGGGUGUUUGCAGAUGAUUAAGUUAAGAUGAGGUUAUCAGGGGGACCUCUGAUCCAAUAUGACUGGUGUGCUUAGAAAAAGGGAUCUUGGGAUAUUUGGACAGAGAGGCACACGUGCACAUAGGGAGAAUGCCAUGUGACGAUGCGGGCAGAGAUGGACAAGGUGCUUCCCCAAGCCCAGGGGUGCCAAAGAUUGCCAGCAAACCAGGAAAAGCUAAAAGAGAGGCCCGGAGUAGACCCCACCUCACAGCCCUCAGAAGGCACCAACCCAGUGAACUCCUUGAUCUCAAGACUCCCACUUCUAGAACUUCGAACCAGAACGUUUCUGUUCUUGAAGCCGCCCAUUGGUGAUGUUUGUUAUGGCCCCCCUAGCAAACUCAUUCAAAUGGGUGCUGGUUUCCAAGUGUCUGAAAACACUCAUUGCUCUUAGUUUGUACAAUUCACAGAAAUGAGCUCUGUUGGUGGCAAUGACCAGUAUAAGGCUGGUGUGAGAAGUCAUCAGUCAGUGAACCGACACCGAUUUCUCAGUGCCAGUGCUGGGGAUGGGAUGAGGGAGACAGACAUGGUUCCUGGUGUCCAGGAGCAGCAGUUUGGUGGGAAGGGAGGCGGUGCACAUGACCUUGUAUUUAAUUAGUUAGAUAUGAAUGUGUAUCAACUAUGCAGAGGAGGGAGGGAAGCACAUCCCGGGGCUGGAAAGAAAACAUUUCCUAGAGAAAGGGACUUCUAAGCUGACCUGAUAAGCAAGGGUUACCUGGAUGAAAAGAAAUAAGGGAUUUGUGGGAAAGAAAAAAGAAAUAAGAAGCGUGUGUGGAGUGUCUAGGGCAAGAGGGAGCCAGAAGUGUAUGCUAAAGUGUACCAAGAGAAACCCAGAGAAACUGCAGGAGCAGAGAGAGAAACUGGAGAGGGCCGAGUUCUACAUGAAGUCCCAGGUCUUCAUCUCAGCCCCUCAUCACCUCAUUGAUGAGAGGUUUAAAGACACAUCAUGUCCCAGACCCUGCGCUAGGGGCUGGGGGAUACAAGUGGUGAAGACUAACAAGCAAGCUGCCAGUCAAGCGGUUGAUGGCCCAGGGCUAGGAAAACAGGUGGGAACAGCCAGAGGGAACAAAGCCACCUCUUCUGUCUGGAGAAUUCCUCUGAGGUGAAUCUUGAGGAAAAGCUAUAUGCAGUGGCUAUGGAGGGGGAGGGGAUAGGAGAAACCGAAAGUGUUUAUCCUUGGUUCAGAAGAAGGGGACCCAUUGGUCCCCGAGCUUUCUGGCCAAUAGUUUUCAUGUGACUAGACUCGGAGAGAUCACAUGUUCUGUCCAGAAGCACUGAUUCUUUCUAAGUGUCUAAUGUGAUUUUAUUUCCCUGAAGCAGAAUUUGGGUUUCUCCUUGUCUAGGUUUCAUUUAGGGACCUGGCAAGACAUUUCAGAACAUUCUACAGAAAACCUUUGUGAUGCCCUCUUGCCUUGGAGGUGCCAAUGCCCCACAUCCUCGGGCCUUGAUUCUUGGGACCUACCGAGAUGAUGCCAUCUUGGAUUUAGCUUUUUAUCUCCUUGGCCAGAGUCUGAGGGAAUAAUGAAAUCAGUAGACUCAAUCCAUACUGUGCAGAGGGCUUUGAACUCUAGGUUUGGGGGUUCUUAGGUGCUACCCAAUCAGAAGGGGCUAUUAACAGUGCCAUUUGCAAGAUGGAUUUCUAGGUUGGAUGUUUGUCUUCUUGAAUUGACUUUAAUUGUCUGUCUCUGGUGGGCCCAGGACAAAAAGUUUUGGUCAGGCAACACUGGGCUCUGGUUUUGUAGGCAUGGCAUUCAUUAUGUAAGCGUACAGGUCUGCAUUUCAAAAUGAAAAAUAACAAUAAUCAUUAAAGUUUCUCUAGCCUUCUUGUGUCCAAACCACUCUUGCAAAACCACCUCUGGAUGAGCUUUAAGUGUCAGCAAAUCAGAAACAUGUGGAUUUAAUUUCCUUUGAAAUACACCAAGGGAACGAGGGGCAAUGGGGCUUGGCAAUCAGCUUCUUUGGGUUUGCCAAAUCCCAAAUAUCUCACACUCAGGAAGCACCGUCCUGCUGGCCCCCCGCAGUCUUAUCUGGCCAGUCCAGCCACCACAUUUCUUGCUGGCCCAGCUAGGUUUACUCUAACCAUUAGGCUGUUCUCUUGGUCCACUCAGCUGCCAGAAGGACGCUGUUAACACCACCCACAUGCAUAACAGAGCCUUGGAAGAGGGCCAGGCUGCAAUGAGGUGUCAGGUUGGCUCUGGUCUUAUCUGGACGAGCAGACCAUCUUUGCAGCCAUAACCGUGUCUUUAAAACCCCAACCCACUGCGAGAGAGCUUUUCCCAACUUGACUUCUAGAUGGGAAAAUAUUUGGCUUUUAUGGUGGAUGAUGGUAUCAGGCCCCAAAUAUAUUAGGUUUCGUGACCAUCCAACUCUCAUGCAUAUAAUGUGAAACAUGUCCACACUCUGCAAAGACCACAGCCGCCGCACCAUUAGGUUCCAAGGUAAAUACGGGCCCACAGACCUCCUGGGGAAAUAGAGAAGAAGUUUCCUUAAAGGAGAGGAACCCACAGGCGGGUAGUCAUUAUGCCUCUCCAAACCCCUGAGCUCCUGGUCUACUCUAAUCGAAGAGUAAGGACGUGCCGAUGGGUCAGUGUCGUUCCUGGUCCAUUGUUUUUCUUUCUGGAUAUUCACGCCUCUAUUUUCCAUGUCUGGUGUCUCUUUUACCUUAAAUAACAAUGUACCCUUCAUGCAAAGGGCACACUGAACCUUAACAAAGUACUUUUCGCAUUUGAAACAACUAAGGCUUUGGUGCCUGUAUGCCACAUAUUUACAUAUGCUGACUUUUGUUAUCCUCAUCUCCCCGAAGAGGCCACUGAGGCAGCCCCAGAGAGACAGAGUAACCUACACAUGACCCAACUAGUUAGUGACAGCCGCGCCUUGACCUUGGGCUGCUGAGAUCCAGAAAUGAUGUUCUUUCCAGCAGUCCUGCGAAGGUGAAGGAUCAUCGCUGCUUGCUAGAUGAGGGAAAACCUAGAACAUGCUCGUUUUCUCCAUGCACCUGGACCUGCAUAGACUCCUGACAUCAGGACUAAGAGCAGAAUCCAGGGGCACCCAUUCCUUACUAUGUCCUCUUCCCCCGAGUCCUCGGCAAAGCAGUCACAGAUGGCAUCGUUAGGUUACUUCCAGAGUCAUUCAUCUCCAGACCUUCUCUCAGGCAAAUCUGCCUGAGGAUCAGGUGACAGAGAGGCCGCUGCUGUUUUGUUUGUUUUUCAAAUUCCACCUUAUAAAUGCCAGCUACAGAAAACCGUGCGGUGAGGAAGGAAUCAGCCUUGCAAGUUCCCACCUGGAAACAGGGAAUGGACCCUCGAGGGUAGAAUUACCUCUGAACAAUUGGGUGCUGUGCACGCCACAGGAACAGCUGGCUGGUGGAAUUUGUGUGCAAGCAAGGGCAAAACUCGUAUUAUCUUUGUUAGUUCAUGGAAACGCCAAGGCCAUUCCAUGGGUCGAGACUACUGACACCCAUCCUGGGUGUUUACUUUGCAAGGCUUUCUCCUGGCUCAAGCCACCCCAGCCUUGGGGUUAAGAAGAAAUCCCGUUCUCUACCCCCCGCCCCCUGCCUGUUGCUUUGACAGUAUCCACCGGUGGCAGUCCAGGGCAACAGCAGAGCCAGGAAACGCCGUCCUGACUGUCUCCCGAAAGCCAAGGGCAGUUGGUGAAGGACCGCUUCCAUCCGCUUGCAUCUUCGUCUGCUCUUGCCAAGUGGUCAGAAGCUCAGGCGGAGGUGGCCGUGGCCUUCUACUGCCAUCUCCAAGCAGCAGAGAGAAGUCCUGUGCUGGGUGUCAGCAACCACAGGACCCCUUGGGGCACGCACCCCACCCCCACCCCUGCAUGCGCACACACCUCCCUCUGUUUCUGCAGGAGCUGAGAAGCCAGGGGCAGAGAAGGGUGGCGAGAAAGGAAAGGCUGGGACUGACCCUGCGAAGACGGGGCAGCAGGUGGGACUUGGUGCUUGCCAGCAGGGGGCUUUGGUAUUAAUUAAUGAAAUCUAGCCAGUUGCCACCUGGGGACAGUGGGGGCAAGGCAUGGGAUCCUUGGACGGGGGUAAGUGGAUGGGAUUCAGUCUGGCCAAGGGGGGAAAACAUUCUUAUCCUUCAGCUGAAAACCUUCGCUGUCUCUCUCAGCCCCCCAGCCCUAGAACAAUAUGAUUUUCAGAAGAUCUGGUUUGGGCUUCACACUGUGCAUGAGUUGCUGUGAGCAGGCAAAGAAAAAAAAAAAGAAGAAGAAGUUUUCCAUUUAAAAAAAUGAGCCUCAAAUUCACUCGUUCUUCCUGAAGCCAAAAGCUCCUGAUUUCCACUGGCUUCUCUCUGAUGGAUAAUGGGUAGUUUUUCAUACUUUGAAAAGCACUGCUUUUUUUUCCUCUCCGGUUGAGUAAGCUCUUGUGAGUGGGGGUUAAACGAGAAAAGCCAUUUCUCAUGGAAAUGGCUUUAUUUCCAUUAUACCCAUACAGGCUUGUUUUCAGAGUGGCUCAGAGGUGCUGGACAAUGUACUCUGAAUUGAGGAGGAAAAGGGAGAUGGCUGAAACAUUUGCUUUGAGGGACGAAAGCAAGCAAAGAGAUCUAUUCAUUCGCACUGACCUUGGACAUAGAGAUAGCAAGUAAUGCUACGGUUCAGGCCUAAUUAUUUGCUGAGGAGCAGUCAGGGCUCCUGUUCCACAUUUUGUAGCCGUGAUCCUUCCCCCGAGGGGAGCCCCCGUAUCAGAUGCUGCUCCCCCGUGGGCCGGGUGCGUUUGAUGGGUCCUGGCACUGCCUGGUCACAUUCCAUCUCAACAGAGCCAUCCUUAGUGGCCAGCCAGCACAGUGUCAUUGGUGAUACCCCAGAAUAACACAGACCUGCCCGUAUGAUGCUGGUGGCUUUCUUGGCCGUGUUUUCAGGGAUUUCGGGGUCGUCCGGCUCUGUGGCCGGCGCUGCACGGUUGGUAGGUUUGAGCUAAGGGCAGCCGAGUGUAUUCAUGGUCCUGGAGGGGGACGGUUUCACUGUUGUGAGCCCUGUUGAUAGGGAAACAGACACUUCACAGGCCAAGUGCACCAGGCAGGAGGACACACACACACACACACACACACACACACACACACACAUGCUCUCAAGUCCUCUUCCCGGAUCGAGAGGCCCUCACCCUGGUCACAUGGCUGGGUGUGCGGGGUAUCCAGUAACCACGGGAGCUGCAGUCCCAUGACCUCGACUUCUCGUCUAUGAAACUGCGCUCGCCUGCGUUCUGGUUUCCCAUUGUUUAAAAAGGUGCUUAAUUUCUAUUAGUAGCGUUAGAAACCUUUUCUUCUUAUGACCCGUGGAGACUUUCUAAGCCCCAUAAAGCCUGCUCCCCCUAGUUGUUGGUAGGCCCCCCAGCCCUCUCCAGUGAUGACAAAAAGGCUUACAGGAGACAUACUUUAAAUAUAAGGACAUAGUCAGGCUAAAAGGAAAAGGAUGGGAGAAGAUGUUCUGUGCCAUGUCAAAGCCUAAAAAGCUGGCGUGGUGACCUUAAGAUCAGACAAAGUCGGCUUUAAGAUAAGGAGUAUCAACAGAGGUAAUCCCCCAACCCCCAGAAGGCAGUCCCCCUUCUCCCCACCCUCCCACUGUCUGGGUGCCCAGCCCUCAGACUCUGCCUCCGUGGGAAUGGGGAACCGGGUAGGGGUGUCUGGGGGCACUUGUCUGGGCACUUCUCUGGGCUCUUACUGCCUCCCUUUCUUUUCCCUUCUUCUCCCAUCUUCCAGGCCCUUGGCAUAAUCUCAAGCAGGGAUUUAGCAUUUACAAAAGCAGGAAUCCUUACAGCUGGCUCAGAUCCCUAAGGCAAGGAAGUGUGAAGCUUGGCUGCCAGAUGGAAAUUGGUGUGGGUGGGGAAUAAGGGAGCCAAAGACGAAUUAGUACUUCAGCCAUUGAUCCUGCCCAAAUACCCUGCCGCCUCUCCCAGGGGCUCACGGGCCUCCCCAGGCUCUUGGUCUCUUGUUUGGACAGGAGCUGCAGACGUGCUUGACUUUCCUGUCUUUUCCCUUCCCGACCCCCGACUUUAACCUGGGUAAAGCUGCUCUCAUUUUUUUGCAGGAGCCGCUUGGCUCCCUCAAAAGCCCCGGUUGAAUUGAGCAGAACGAAUUUAUUCCCCCCAGCAGGAGCAUAUGGAUGGGAGAUUUGGCUUCGGGACCAAAUCCUCACUCGGGGUGGUUGCUGGUCUGACCCGGCUCUCUGUGCAGAGGUCCUCUUCGGGAAGAGAGAGCCGUUCUCACUCACUAAUCCAGGCGUGUUCUUUUUUUUGUUGUUUUUAAAGAUUUUAUUUGACAGAGCAAGA